UACAGAGGGGGCAAGCGUUGUUCGGAAUUACUGGGCGUAAAGGGCGCGUAGGCGGCCUUCUAAGUCGAACGUGAAAUCCCCGGGCUCAACCCGGGAACUGCGUCCGAUACUGGAAGGCUUGAAUCCGGGAGAGGGAUGUGGAAUUCCAGGUGUAGCGGUGAAAUGCGUAGAUAUCUGGAGGAACACCGGUGGCGAAGGCGACAUCCUGGACCGGUAUUGACGCUGAUGUGCGAAAGCCAGGGGAGCAAACGGG
rnacentral:rRNA from 1 species